UGUAUCCACCCUCUCUCUUGCACAUUAUUCAUAAUUCUUUUCUUUUUUUUUAUCGCGUAUUAGAACUAUACACACGAUUUAAUGCUCAUGAAACGACAAAGAAAUCUGCAAAAAUCAGGAAUAUACAGAGAGCCAGAGAAAACGCCAAGAACAUUUGCAAAACACAUGUCAAUGGCAUGUUUUUUUGUUUUUUUUUCAGUUUUUAGACCCUGGGAUUUGCCCACGGAAAUCCUUUUGUUUGCGUCACAGCAUGCGAAAUGCUAUAAAGAUACUCCAGCCUGUACUCAAACUUCUAUAAUACGGACCAAAAGAUUUUACCAAAACAUGUUAAUGUUAAGGGGACAUCGAGUGGCGAACAGAUCAAGUAGGAAUAUGAGUACAACAAUGAAAGCACCGAAAGAGACAAAGAAUCGGUGAAGAGUGAGAGGGCACUGAGCAACCCCCAACCAAAACCACUUGGCAUUGAACUUGGCUGUUCUCUUCUUGCGUUCGAGAAAAGGGAACAUCGCGUCCUGGCAUUGAUUGAGCUAUUGAAUUAACAUUUGGCAAUGAUUUACAAACAAAUUCAGAUAAUGCCCUCGAAAUCGAGCAGCGUGGGCGUGGCCCUUUGUGCGUUUGGAAUUUCAAGUAACCAUUAUACCGAAACUACUCCAGCGAAUGAUUCGCAGAAGGAAACCCACUCAAGACGGAAACCCCUGGGGGAAAACAUGGGAUUAAAUAUGAUAUUUUCGGGGCAAGGUUUAUGGUUUCCUCAGUAGGUUGAAAAACCGAAAUAAUGUUAGAGGACU